CAACAAACUUUCACAUCCAUCAUUGAGGAAAUAUUCUUUAAGUCUGAAGAAAACACAAGAAGUCUAAAUGAAAUACUCCCAUAAUGUGUUUUGACUGUACUGAAACAUCAUUUUCUGGAUGAAAUAAAAACCCUUGUGAAAAUAUUUUCAACCAGUGCCAGCUUCUAAUUAUAGUUAUUUAUAUUGCUGAAAUGCUUAAGGAUCUCUUCAUUUCAGAAACUGGCCUUUCCACGAAAUGUGCCCUUUUUUACUAAUGGGCAUAUGAAAACUCCUUUCAAAAUUUCUAUGAAAAUAUUUACUAAGCGUGUGCAAGAUACACAUGUAUCAGAACCCCCAAGGACCAAUGUGUCAGUGAAGCCCUUCGCUCUCUGUGUCUGUCUGGGCAGGGAGCCUGCAAAUUGCCAGUAAAAUCUGAGCCUCAGCAGACUGGCCCAAAAAACAAGGGAAGCCAGAUCCCUAACUCCUUUGUGGGCAGAAUUCUCAUUUAGUUUGUCAAUGCAAAGUCAACUCAGAAAAUCAUGGGAAUCUUGUGAAAAAUAACGAAGGUGAAAGCCUGGCAUAUUUUUUUAUGCCUUAUUGUUUCUGAGUCUUAAGAGUAGACUAGUGUCAUGCCUUCCAAUUUUUCCUUUGCAACCUUGAAGGUUAAAAAUGUGUUUUAAAAUGUCACAUGCAUGAAUAAUUAUCAAUUUCCUAUUAUUCCUGUGACAUUUCCAUGCUCCUAUUGAUGAGUGCUCAUUUCUAGCCAACAAACCAGAGUUUCUGUGCCCUCAGCUAAAGGAAUUCUCUCAUACUGCUGUUUUAGCUCUUGGUACAAGAUCAGGGUGGGAUGAGGGGCAGGGAAGAGAGAAACCCUCCCAGAAUGGCUCAGCAUCACGGAGAACAGGAAUGUUCUCAGCCCACGGAGAAUGCUCUGUAGGAGGUUCCCACCCAUACCUCUUCUUGCAGCGCUUUAUGGGGCCGCUACAUUGCACUGCAAGCUUAUUCCCAGACGCGCUGCUGCAGCUGUCAGGACGAAGCCACUUGCAGGGGAAAGAAAUGUCCAUCAGGGAACACUGCUGUUUCACCCCUACUGUUCCAGUUUUCAACAGGGAGCCAAAACAAGCCAAGGGAAGAUACCGAGGAUGCCACCUCUCUGCUCAGUGUCUGCACAGAAGGACAUUUUUCACGGGCAGUCACCAAGUUAUUGCACAGCAUCCUUGGAGGGUCACUGUAAAUACAUAACAAUUUGGAUCCAGCUCCUUGGGGUGUUGCUGAGUUGGAUUCAUUAUAUGAACAAGACAACAGGCACCAGUAAGUCAACAAAAGUUGGGCUUUAA
rnacentral:lncRNA from 1 species